GACGAACGCUGGCGGCGUGCCUAAUACAUGCGAGUAGAACGCUGAAGGAGGAGCUUGCUUCUCUGGAUGAGUUGCGAACGGGUGAGUAACGCGUAGGUAACCUGCCUGGUAGCGGGGGAUAACUAUUGGAAACGAUAGCUAAUACCGCAUAAUAGUAGAUGUUGCAUGACAUUUACUUAAAAGGUGCAAUUGCAUCACUACCAGAUGGACCUGCGUUGUAUUAGCUAGUUGGUGGGGUAACGGCUCACCAAGGCGACGAUACAUAGCCGACCUGAGAGGGUGAUCGGCCACACUGGGACUGAGACACGGCCCAGACUCCUACGGGAGGCAGCAGUAGGGAAUCUUCGGCAAUGGACGAAAGUCUGACCGAGCAACGCCGCGUGAGUGAAGAAGGUUUUCGGAUCGUAAAGCUCUGUUGUAAGAGAAGAACGAGUGUGAGAGUGGAAAGUUCACACUGUGACGGUAUCUUACCAGAAAGGGACGGCUAACUACGUG
rnacentral:rRNA from 1 species